ACGAGAUGUAGAGAGGUCUCGUGGGCUCGGAGAUGUGUAUAAGAGACAGACUUCAGACCAUCGAAAGAUGAUGUGGUAACGCGGCGUAGUGUAUGGACGGAAGGUAGGCUGUGAGGUCUGCUGGACCGUAUACUAAUGAGAGUCUUGGGAAGAGUAGCAGCACAGUGUGGUGAGAAUCCGCACCGCCUUAUAAACCAGGGUUCCUCGGCACUGUUUAUCAGCCGAGGGUUAGCCGGUCCUAAGGUCAUUCUUAACCGAAAUGAUCGAAAGGGAAAUGCGUUAAUAUUCGUAUGCCUCCUAUACAUAAAAUGGUGACGGCUUGGGCAAAACUUGUGGAUCAUAUGUCAGGUCCACUUGCACUAAAUUUCUGGAGAACUGUCACAGUGAGAAGAGAAUAAAGUCCCAGGUCCCUUGAAAAGCCGUACGAAGAGACCGUACCGAGAACUGAAACAGGUGUUUUAGGGUGAGUAGCCUAAGGCGUAUCGGAUACAAGUAUCGCGAGGGAACUCGGCAAAAUAGCUCCGUAACUUCGGGAGAAGGAGUGCCAGAUUGGGAACAAUCUGGUCGCAGUGACUAGGGAGCUCCGACUGUUUAAUAAAAACAUAGGGGACUGCCAGAUCGAAAGGUUGUGUAUAGUCCCUGAAUCCUGCUCAGUGCUGGUAUCUUAAAUCGGGUUUCAACCUGACGAAGGACCAGUAAACAGCGGGGGUAACUAUGACCCUCUUAAGGUAGCGUAAUACCUUGUCGCUUAAUUGGCGACUUGCAUGAAUGGUCCAACGAGGGCUCCACUGUCCCCGCGAUACGUCCGGCGAAAUUGACUUUACUGGCGCACAGUCCAGUACAUUCUACCCGCAAGCGAAGACCCCGUAGAGCUUUACUGCAGCCUGUCGUUGCAUAGUCGCUUUCCAUGUACUGUGUAGGUGGGAGACGUUGAUCUCUGGGACGUCAGUCCUGGAAGUAGUCGAAAAUAGAGACACCACCCUUGGAGAGUAACUAUGCUAACUGUUAAUCAGAACACCGAUUGGUGGGCAGUUUGGGUGGGGCGCCACGCGCUCGAAAACCUAACAAGCGUGCCCAAAGGUCAGCUUAAGUGGUUCAGCACUCCACUGGAAACUGUAAGGGGAAAAGCUGGCUUGACGUGGAUCGGCACAAUAACGAUCGACGAUGCGAAAGCAGGGCCUAACGAACCUACCAGGCUUAUAUUUGAGGCCGGUAGAUAACAGAAAAGUUACCUCGGGGAUAAUUGAGUUGUCACCAGCAAGAGCUCACAUCGACCUGGUGGCUUGCUACUUCGAUGUCGUCUCUUCCUAUCCUGGGUCUGCAGCAGGACCCAAGGGUGGGGUUGUUCGCCCAUUAAAAGGGAUCGUGAGAUGGGUUUAGACCGUCGUGAGACAGGUUUGUUGCUUGGUGGUAGAAUCGCAUAAGGUGUUUGAUGGAAGGGGUCCUUUAGUACGAGAGGAACGAGGGCUGUCUCUUAUACACAUCUGACGCUGCCGACGACUCCUUA
rnacentral:rRNA from 1 species